UUGGCUAAGGUGUCUUGGCUAAGGUGUCUUGGCUAAUGUGUCUCGGCUAAGGUGUCUUGGCUAAGGUGUCUUGGCUAAUGUGUCUUGGCUAAGGUGUCUUGGCUAAGGUGUCUUGGCUAAGGUGUCUUGGCUAAUGUGUCUCGGCUAAAGUGUCUUGGCUAAGGUGUCUUGGCUAAGGUGUCUUGGCUAAGGUGUCUUGGCUAAGGUGUCUUGGCUAAGGUGUCUUGGCUAAUGUGUCUCGGCUAAGGUGUCUUGGCUAUUGUGUCUUGGCUAAGGUGUCUUGGCUAAGGUGUCUUGGCUUAGGUGUCUUGGCUAAGGUGUCUUGGCUAAUGUGUCUCGGCUAAAGUGUCUUGGCUAUGGUGUCUUGGCUAAGGUGUCUUGGCUAAGGUGUCUUGGCUAAUGUGUCUCGUCUAAGGUGUCUUGGCUAAGGUGUCUUGGCUAAGGUGUCCUAGCUAGUGUGUCUCGGCUAAGGUGUCUUGGCUAAGGUGUCUUGGCUAAUGUGUCUUGGCUAAGGUGUCUUGGCUAAGGUGUCUUGGCUAAGGUGUCUUGGCUAAUGUGUCUCGGCUAAAGUGUCUUGGCUAAGGUGUCUUGGCUAAGGUGUCUUGGCUAAGGUGUCUUGGCUAAGGUGUCUUGGCUAAUGUGUCUCGGCUAAGGUGUCUUGGCUAUUGUGUCUUGGCUAAGGUGUCUUGGCUAAGGUGUCUUGGCUAAGGUGUCUUGGCUAAGGUGUCUUGGCUAAUGUGUCUCGGCUAAAGUGUCUUGGCUAUGGUGUCUUGGCUAAAGUGUCUUGGCUAAGGUGUCUUGGCUAAGGUGUCUUGGCUAAUGUGUCUCGGCUAAAGUGUCUUGGCUAAGGUGUCUUGGCUAAGGUGUCUUGGCUAAGGUGUCUUGGCUAAUGUGUCUCGGCUAAGGUGUCUUGGCUAAUGUGUCUUGGCUAAGGUUUCUUGGCUAAUGUGUCUCGGCUAAUGUGUCUUGGCUAAGGUGUCUUGGCUAAGGUGUCUUGGCUAAGGUGUCUCGGCUAAUGUGUCUUGGCUAAUGUGUCUUGGCUAAGGUGUCUUGGCUAAUGUGUCUCGGCUAAGGUGUCUUGGCGAAGGUGUCUUGGCUAAUGUGUCUCGGCUAAAGUGUCUUGGCUAAGGUGUCUUGGCUAAGGUGUCUUGGCUAAGGUGUCUCGGCUAAGGUGUCUUGGCUAAGGUGUCUUGGCUAAUGUGUCUUGGCUAAGGUGUCUUGGCUAAUGUGUCUUGGCUAAAGUGUCUUGGCUAAGGUGUCUUGGCUAAUGUGUCUCGGCUAAGGUGUCUUGGCUAAUGUGUCUUGGCUAAUAUGUCUUGGCUAAGGUGUCUUGGCUAAGGUGUCUUGGCUAAUGUGUCUUGGCUAAGGUGUCUUUGCUAAUGUGUCUCGGCUAAUGUGUCUUGGCUAAGGUGUCUUGGCUAAGGUGUCUUGGCUAAGGUGUCUCGGCUAAGGUGUCUUGGCUAAUGUGUCUUGGCUAAGGUGUCUUGGCUAAUGUGUCUCGGCUAAGGUGUCUUGGCUAAGGUGUCUUGGCUAAGGUGUCUUGGCUGAGGUGUCUUGGCUAAGGUGUCUUGGCUAAUGUGUCUUGGCUAAAGUGUCUUGGCUUAGGUGUCUCGGCUAAUGUGUCUUGGCUAAUGUGUCUUGGCUAAGGUGUCUUGGCUAAGGUGUCUUGGCUAAGGUGUCUCGGCUAAGGUGUCUUGGCUAAUGUGUCUUGGCUAAGGUGUCUUGGCUAAUGUGUCUUGGCUAAUGUGUCUUGGCUAAGGUGUCUUGGCUAAUGUGUCUUGGCUAUGGUGUCUUGGCUAAGGUGUCUUGGCUAAUGUGUCUUGGCUAAAGUGUCUUGGCUUAGGUGUCUUGGCUAAUGUGUCUCGGCUAAGGUGUCUUGGCUAAUGUGUCUUGGCUAAGGUGUCUUGGCUAAGGUGUCUUGGCUAAGGUGUCUUGGCUGAGGUGUCUUGGCUAAGGUGUCUUGGCUAAUGUGUCUCGGCUAAGGUGUCUUGGCUAAUGUGUCUUGGCUAAGGUGUCUUGGCUAAUGUGUCUUGGCUAAAGUGUCUUGGCUUAGGUGUCUCGGCUAAAGUGUCUUGGCUAAGGUGUCUUGGCUAAGGUGUCUUGGCUAAUGUGUCUUGGCUAAGGUGUCUUGGCUAAGGUGUCUUGGCUAAGGUGUCUUGGCUAAGGUGUCUUGGCUAAUGUGUCUCGUCUAAGGUGUCUUGGCUAAGGUGUCUUGGCUAAGGUGUCUUGGCUAAUGUGUCUCGGCUAAGGUGUCUUGGCUAAGGUGUCUUGGCUAAUGUGUCUUGGCUAAGGUGUCUUGGCUAAGGUGUCUUGGCUAAGGUGUCUUGGCUAAUGUGUCUCGGCUAAAGUGUCUUGGCUAAGGUGUCUUGGCUAAGGUGUCUUGGCUAAGGUGUCUUGGCUAAGGUGUCUUGGCUAAGGUGUCUUGGCUAAUGUGUCUCGGCUAAGGUGUCUUGGCUAUUGUGUCUUGGCUAAGGUGUCUUGGCUAAGGUGUCUUGGCUAAGGUGUCUUGGCUAAGGUGUCUUGGCUAAUGUGUCUCGGCUAAAGUGUCUUGGCUAUGGUGUCUUGGCUAAGGUGUCUUGGCUAAGGUGUCUUGGCUAAUGUGUCUCGUCUAAGGUGUCUUGGCUAAGGUGUCUUGGCUAAGGUGUCUUGGCUAAUGUGUCUCGGCUAAGGUGUCUUGGCUAAGGUGUCUUGGCUAAUGUGUCUUGGCUAAGGUGUCUUGGCUAAGGUGUCUUGGCUAAGGUGUCUUGGCUAAUGUGUCUCGGCUAAAGUGUCUUGGCUAAGGUGUCUUGGCUAAGGUGUCUUGGCUAAGGUGUCUUGGCUAAGGUGUCUUGGCUAAGGUGUCUUGGCUAAGGUGUCUUGGCUAAUGUGUCUCGGCUAAGGUGUCUUGGCUAAUGUGUCUCGGCUAAGGUGUCUUGGCUAUUGUGUCUUGGCUAAGGUGUCUUGGCUAAGGUGUCUUGGCUAAGGUGUCUUGGCUAAGGUGUCUUGGCUAAUGUGUCUCGGCUAAAGUGUCUUGGCUAUGGUGUCUUGGCUAAGGUGUCUUGGCUAAGGUGUCUUGGCUAAUGUGUCUUGGCUAAUGUGUCUCGUCUAAGGUGUCUUGGCUAAGGUGUCUUGGCUAAGGUGUCUUGGCUAAUGUGUCUCGGCUAAGGUGUCUUGGCUAAGGUGUCUUGGCUAAUGUGUCUUGGCUAAGGUGUCUUGGGUAAGGUGUCUUGGCUAAGGUGUCUUGGCUAAUGUGUCUCGGCUAAAGUGUCUUGGCUAAGGUGUCUUGGCUAAUGUGUCUCGUCUAAGGUGUCUUGGCUAAGGUGUCUUGGCUAAUGUGUCUCGGCUAAGGUGUCUUGGCUAAGGUGUCUUGGCUAAUGUGUCUCGGCUAAAGUGUCUUGGCUAAGGUGUCUUGGCUAAGGUGUCUUGGCUAAGGUGUCUUGGCUAAUGUGUCUUGGCUAAUGUGUCUUGGCUAAGGUGUCUUGGCUAAGGUGUCUUGGCUAAGGUGUCUUGGCUAAUGUGUCUCGGCUAAAGUGUCUUGGCUAAGGUGUCUUGGCUAAGGUGUCUUGGCUAAGGUGUCUUGGCUAAGGUGUCUUGGCUAAGGUGUCUUGGCUAAUGUGUCUCGGCUAAGGUGUCUUGGCUAUUGUGUCUUGGCUAAGGUGUCUUGGCUAAGGUGUCUUGGCUAAGGUGUCUUGGCUAAGGUGUCUUGGCUAAUGUGUCUCGGCUAAAGUGUCUUGGCUAUGGUGUCUUGGCUAAAGUGUCUUGGCUAAGGUGUCUUGGCUAAGGUGUCUUGGCUAAUGUGUCUCGGCUAAAGUGUCUUGGCUAAGGUGUCUUGGCUAAGGUGUCUUGGCUAAGGUGUCUUGGCUAAUGUGUCUCGGCUAAGGUGUCUUGGCUAAUGUGUCUUGGCUAAGGUGUCUUGGCUAAUGUGUCUCGGCUAAUGUGUCUUGGCUAAGGUGUCUUGGCUAAGGUGUCUUGGCUAAGGUGUCUCGGCUAAUGUGUCUUGGCUAAUGUGUCUUGGCUAAGGUGUCUUGGCUAAUGUGUCUCGGCUAAGGUGUCUUGGCGAAGGUGUCUUGGCUAAUGUGUCUCGGCUAAAGUGUCUUGGCUAAGGUGUCUUGGCUAAGGUGUCUUGGCUAAGGUGUCUCGGCUAAGGUGUCUUGGCUAAGGUGUCUUGGCUAAUGUGUCUUGGCUAAGGUGUCUUGGCUAAGGUGUCUUGGCUAAUGUGUCUUGGCUAAAGUGUCUUGGCUUAGGUGUCUUGGCUAAUGUGUCUCGGCUAAGGUGUCUUGGCUAAUGUGUCUUGGCUAAUGUGUCUUGGCUAAGGUGUCUUGGCUAAGGUGUCUUGGCUAAUGUGUCUUGGCUAAGGUGUCUUUGCUAAUGUGUCUCGGCUAAUGUGUCUUGGCUAAGGUGUCUUGGCUAAUGUGUCUUGGCUAAGGUGUCUCGGCUAAGGUGUCUUGGCUAAUGUGUCUUGGCUAAGGUGUCUUGGCUAAUGUGUCUCGGCUAAGGUGUCUUGGCUAAGGUGUCUUGGCUAAGGUGUCUUGGCUGAGGUGUCUUGGCUAAGGUGUCUUGGCUAAUGUGUCUUGGCUAAAGUGUCUUGGCUUAGGUGUCUCGGCUAAUGUGUCUUGGCUAAUGUGUCUUGGCUAAGGUGUCUUGGCUAAGGUGUCUUGGCUAAGGUGUCUCGGCUAAGGUGUCUUGGCUAAUGUGUCUUGGCUAAGGUGUCUUGGCUAAUGUGUCUUGGCUAAUGUGUCUUGGCUAAGGUGUCUUGGCUAAUGUGUCUCGGCAAAUGUGUCUUAUCUAAAGUGCCUUGGCUAAGGUGUCUUGGCUAAUGUGUCUUGGCUAAUGUGUCUUGGCUAAUGUGUCUUGGCUAAGGUGUCUUGGCUAAGGUGUCUUGGCUAAGGUGUCUCGGCUAAGGUGUCUUGGCUAAGGUGUCUUGGCUAAUGUGUCUUGGCUAAGGUGUCUUGGCUAAUGUGUCUUGGCUAAUGUGUCUUGGCUAAUGUGUCUUGGCUAAGGUGUCUUGGCUAAUGUGUCUCGGCUAAAGUGUCUUGGCUAAGGUGUCUUGGCUAAGGUGUCUUGGCUAAGGUGUCUUGGCUAAUGUGUCUUUGCUAAUGUGUCUCGGCUAAAGUGUCUUGGCUAAGGUGUCUUGGCUAAGGUGUCUUAGCUAAGGUGUCUUGGCUAAGGUGUCUUGGCUAAUGUGUCUUGGCUAAGGUGUCUUGGCUAAUGUGUCUUGGGUAAGGUGUCUUGGCUAAGGUGUCUUGGCUAAUGUGUCUCGGCUAAGGUGUCUUGUCUAAGGUGUCUUGGCUAAGGUGUCUUAGCUAAGGUGUCUUGGCUAAGGUGUCUUGGCUAAUGUGUCUUGGCUAAAGUGUCUCGGCUAAGGUGUCUUGGCUAAUGUGUCUUGGCUAAGGUGUCUUGGCUAAGGUGUCUUGGCUAAUGUGUCUCGGCUAAGGUGUCUUGGUUAAUGUGUCUUGGCUAAUGUGUCUUGGCUAAGGUGUCUUGGCUAAUGUGUCUCGGCUAAUGUGUCUUGGCUAAGGUGUCUUGGCUAAGGUGUCUUGGCUAAGGUGUCUCGGCUAAGGUGUCUUGACUAAUGUGUCUUGGCUAAGGUGUCUUGGCUAAUGUGUCUUGGCUAAUGUGUCUUGGCUAAGGUGUCUUGGCUAAUGUGUCUCGGCUAAUGUGUCUUAUCUAAAGUGCCUUGGCUAAGGUGUCUUGGCUAAUGUGUCUUGGCUAAGGUGUCUUGGCUAAUGUGUCUUGGCUAAGGUGUCUUGGCUAAGGUGUCUUGGCUAAUGUGUCUUGGCUAAGGUGUCUUGGCUAAGGUGUCUUGGCUAAGGUGUCUUGGCUAAUGUGUCUUGGCUAAUGUGUCUUGGCUAAGGUGUCUUGGCUAAGGUGUCUUGGCUAAUGUGUCUUGGCUAAGGUGUCUUGGCUAAUGUGUCUCGGCUUAUGUGUCUUGGCUAAUGUGUCUCGGCUAAAGUGUCUUGGCUAAGGUGUCUUGGCUAAUGUGUCUUGGCUAAUGUGUCUCGACUAAUGUGUCUUGGCUAAUGUGUCUUGGCUAAGGUGUCUUGGCUAAUGUGUCUCGGCUUAUGUGUCUUGGCUAAAGUGUCUUGGCUAAAGUGUCUUGGCUAAGGUGUCUUGGCUAAUGUGUCUCGGCUAAAGUGUCUUGGCUAAGGUGUCUUAGCUAAGGUGUCUUGGCUAAUGUGUUUUGGCUAAGGUGUCUUGGCUAAUGUGUCUUGGCUAAGGUGUCUUGGCUAAGGUGUCUCGGCUAAGGUGUCUUGGCUAUUGUGUCUUGGCUAAGGUGUCUUGGUUAAGGUGUCUUGGCUAAUGUGUUUUGGCUAAAGUGUCUUGGCUAAGGUGUCUUGGCUAAGGUGUCUUGGCUAAGGUGUCUUGGCUAAGGUGUCUUGGCUAAGGUGUCUUGGCUAAUGUGUCUUGGCUAAGGUGUCUUUGCUAAUGUGUCUCGGCUGAUGUGUCUUGGCUAAGGUGUCUUGGCUAAUGUGUCUUGGCUAAGGUGUCUUGGCUAAGGUGUCUUGGCUAAGGUGUCUUGGCUAAGGUGUCUUGGCUAAGGUGUCUUGGCUAAGGUGUCUUGGCUAAUGUGUCUUGGCUAAGGUGUCUUGGCUAAGGUGUCUUGGCUAAUGUGUCUUGGCUAAGGUGUCUUGGCUAAGGUGUCUUGGCUAAUGUGUCUCGGCUAAUGUGUCUUGGCUAAGGUGUCUUGGUUGAGGUGUCUUGGCUAAUGUGUCUUGGCUAAAGUGUCUUGGCUAAGGUGUCUUGGCUAAUGUGUCUCGGCUAAGGUGUCUUGGCUAAGGUGUCUUGGUUAAGGUGUCUUGGCUAAUGUGUCUUGGCUAAAGUGUCUUGGCUAAGGUGUCUUGGCUAAGGUGUCUUGGCUAAGGUGUCUUGGCUAAUGUGUCUUGGCUAAGGUGUCUUGGCUAAUGUGUCUCGGCUUAUGUGUCUUGGCUAAUGUGUCUCGGCUAAACUGUCUUGGCUAAGGUGUCUUUGCUAAGGUGUCUUGGCUAAAGUGUCUUGGCUAAGGUGUCUUGGCUAAGGUGUCUUGGCUAAGGUGUCUCGGCUAAGGUGUCUUGGCUAAGGUGUCUUGGCUAAUGUGUCUUGGCUAAGGUGUCUUGGCUAAAGUGUCUUGGCUAAUGUGUCUUGGCUAAGGUGUCUUGGCUAAUGUGUCUUGGCUAAUGUGUCUUGGCUAAUGUGUCUUGGCUAAGGUGUCUUUUCUUAUGUGUCUCGGCCUAUGUGUCUUGGCUAAUGUGUCUCGGCUAAAGUGUCUUGGCUAAGGUGUCUUGGCUAAGGUGUCUUGGCUAAGGUGUCUUGGCUAAUGUGUCUUGGCUAAGGUGUCUUGGCUAAUGUGUCUCGGCUUAUGUGUCUUGGCUAAGGUGUCUUGGCUAAGGUGUCUUGGCUAAUGUGUCUCGGCUAAUGUGUCUUGGCUAAGGUGUCUUGGUUAAGGUGUCUUGGCUAAUGUGUCUUGGCUAAAGUGUCUUGGCUAAGGUGUCUUGGCUAAUGUGUCUCGGCUAAUGUGUCUUGGCUAAGGUGUCUUGGUUAAGGUGUCUUGGCUAAUGUGUCUUGGCUAAAGUGUCUUGGCUAAGGUGUCUUGGCUAAGGUGUCUUGGCUAAGGUGUCUUGGCCAAUAUGUCUUGGCUAAGGUGUCUUGGCUAAUGUGUCUCGGCUUAUGUGUCUUGGCUAAUGUGUCUCGGCUAAAGUGUCUUGGCUAAGGUGUCUUGGCUAAGGUGUCUUGGCUAAAGUGUCUUGGCUAAGGUGUCUUGGCUAAGGUGUCUUGGCUAAGGUGUCUUGGCUAAUGUGUCUUGGCUAAGGUGUCUUGGCUAAGGUGUCUCGGCUAAAGUGUCUUGGCUAAGGUGUCUUGGCUAAGGUGUCUUGGCUAAUGUGUUUUGGCUAAGGUGUCUUGGCUAAUGUGUCUUGGCUAAGGUGUCUUGGCUAAGGUGUCUUGGCUAAGGUGUCUUGGCUAAGGUGUCUUGGCUAAAGUGUCUUGGCUAAGGUGUCUUGGCUAAGGUGUCUUGGCUAAGGUGUCUUGGCUAAGGUGUCUUGGCUAAUGUGUCUUGGCUAAGGUGUCUUGGCUAAGGUGUCUUGGCUAAGGUGUCUUGGCUAAGGUGUCUUGGCUAAUGUGUCUUGGCUAAUGUGUCUCGGCUAAGGUGUCUUGGCUUAGGUGUCUUGGCUAAUGUGUCUUGGCUAAGGUGUCUUGGCUAAUGUGUCUCGGCUUAUGUGUCUUGGCUAAUGUGUCUCGGCUAAAGUGUCUUGGCUAAGGUGUCUUGGCUAAGGUGUCUUGGCUAAAGUGUCUUGGCUAAGGUGUCUUGGCUAAGGUGUCUUGGCUAAUGUGUCUUGGCUAAGGUGUUUUGGCUAAGGUGUCUCGGCUAAGGUGUCUUGGCUAAGGUGUCUUGGCUAAUGUGUCUUGGCUAAGGUGUCUUGGCUAUUGUGUCUUGGCUAAGGUGUCUUGGUUAAGGUGUCUUGGCUAAUGUGUCUUGGCUAAAGUGUCUUGGCUAAGGUGUCUUGGCUAAGGUGUCUUGGCUAAUGUGUCUUGGCUAAGGUGUCUUGGCUAAUGUGUCUCGGCUAAGGUGUCUUGGCUAAGGUGUCUUGGCUAAUGUGUCUUGGCUAAAGUGUCUUGGCUAAGGUGUCUUGGCUAAGGUGUCUUGGCUAAGGUGUCUUGGCUAAGGUGUCUUGGCUAAGGUGUCUUGGCUAAGGUGUCUUGGCUAAGGUGUCUUGGCUAAUGUGUCUUGGCUAAGGUGUCUUGGCUAAGGUGUCUUGGCUAAAGUGUCUUGGCUAAGGUGUCUUGGCUAAGGUGUCUUGGCUAAGGUGUCUUGGCUAAGGUGUCUUGGCUAAGGUGUCUUGGCUAAGGUGUCUUGGCUAAUGUGUCUCGGCUAAGGUGUCUUGGCUAAGGUGUCUUGGCUAAUGUGUCUUGGCUAAAGUGUCUUGGCUAAGGUGUCUUGGCUAAGGUGUCUUGGCUAAGGUGUCUUGGCUAAGGUGUCUUGGCUAAGGUGUCUUGGCUAAGGUGUCUUGGCUAAGGUGUCUUGGCUAAGGUGUCUUGGCUAAGGUGUCUUGGCUAAGGUGUCUUGGCUAAAGUGUCUUGGCUAAGGUGUCUUGGCUAAGGUGUCUUGGCUAAGGUGUCUUGGCUAAGGUGUCUUGGCUAAGGUGUCUUGGCUAAUGUGUCUUGGCUAAGGUGUCUUGGCUAAGGUGUCUUGGCUAAGGUGUCUUGGCUAAGGUGUCUUGGCUAAUGUGUCUCGGCUAAGGUGUCUUGGCUAAGGUGUCUUGGCUAAUGUGUCUUGGCUAAAGUGUCUUGGCUAAGGUGUCUUGGCUAAGGUGUCUUGGCUAAGGUGUCUUGGCUAAGGUGUCUUGGCUAAGGUGUCUUGGCUAAGGUGUCUUGGCUAAGGUGUCUUGGCUAAGGUGUCUUGGCUAAGGUGUCUUGGCUAAAGUGUCUUGGCUAAGGUGUCUUGGCUAAGGUGUCUUGGCUAAGGUGUCUUGGCUAAGGUGUCUUGGCUAAGGUGUCUUGGCUAAUGUGUCUUGGCUAAGGUGUCUUGGCUAAGGUGUCUUGGCUAAGGUGUCUUGGCUAAGGUGUCUUGGCUAAUGUGUCUUGGCUAAUGUGUCUUGGCUAAGGUGUCUUGGCUUAGGUGUCUUGGCUAAUGUGUCUUGGCUAAGGUGUCUUGGCUAAUGUGUCUCGGCUUAUGUGUCUUGGCUAAUGUGUCUCGGCUAAAGUGUCUUGGCUAAGGUGUCUUGGCUAAGGUGUCUUGGCUAAAGUGUCUUGGCUAAGGUGUCUUGGCUAAGGUGUCUUGGCUAAUGUGUCUUGGCUAAGGUGUUUUGGCUAAGGUGUCUCGGCUAAGGUGUCUUGGCUAAGGUGUCUUGGCUAAUGUGUCUUGGCUAAGGUGUCUUGGCUAUUGUGUCUUGGCUAAGGUGUCUUGGUUAAGGUGUCUUGGCUAAUGUGUCUUGGCUAAAGUGUCUUGGCUAAGGUGUCUUGGCUAAGGUGUCUUGGCUAAUGUGUCUUGGCUAAGGUGUCUUGGCUAAUGUGUCUCGGCUAAGGUGUCUUGGCUAAGGUGUCUUGGCUAAUGUGUCUUGGCUAAAGUGUCUUGGCUAAGGUGUCUUGGCUAAGGUGUCUUGGCUAAGGUGUCUUGGCUAAGGUGUCUUGGCUAAUGUGUCUUGGCUAAGGUGUCUUGGCUAAGGUGUCUUGGCUAAUGUGUCUUGGCUAAGGUGUCUCGGCUAAAGUGUCUUGGCUAAGGUGUCUUGGCUAAGGUGUCUUGGCUAAGGUGUCUUGGCUAAUGUGUCUCGGCUAAGGUGUCUUGGCUAAGGUGUCUUGGCUAAGGUGUCUUGGCUAAAGUGUCUUGGCUAAGGUGUCUUGGCUAAUGUGUCUCGGCUAAAGUGUCUUGGCUAAGGUGUCUUGGCUAAGGUGUCUUGGCUAAGGUGUCUUGGCUAAUGUGUCUCGGCUAAGGUGUCUUGGCUAAGGUGUCUUGGCUAAUGUGUCUUGGCUAAGGUGUCUUGGCUAAGGUGUCUCGGCUAAGGUGUCUUGGCUAUUGUGUCUUGGCUAAGGUGUCUUGGUUAAGGUGUCUUGGCUAAUGUGUCUUGGCUAAGGUGUCUUGGCUAAGGUGUCUUGGCUAAGGUGUCUUGGCUAAGGUGUCUUGGCUAAUGUGUCUCGGCUAAGGUGUCUUGGCUAAGGUGUCUUGGCUAAUGUGUCUUGGCUAAGGUGUCUUGGCUAAGGUGUCUCGGCUAAGGUGUCUUGGCUAUUGUGUCUUGGCUAAGGUGUCUUGGUUAAGGUGUCUUGGCUAAUGUGUCUUGGCUAAAGUGUCUUGGCUAAGGUGUCUUGGCUAAGGUGUCUUGGCUAAUGUGUCUUGGCUAAGGUGUCUUGGCUAAUGUGUCUCGGCUAAGGUGUCUUGGCUAAGGUGUCUUGGCUAAUGUGUCUUGGCUAAAGUGUCUUGGCUAAGGUGUCUUGGCUAAGGUGUCUUGGCUAAGGUGUCUUGGCUAAGGUGUCUUGGCUAAUGUGUCUUGGCUAAGGUGUCUUGGCUAAGGUGUCUUGGCUAAGGUGUCUUGGCUAAUGUGUCUUGGCUAAGGUGUCUUGGCUAAAGUGUCUUGGCUAAGGUGUCUUGGCUAAGGUGUCUUGGCUAAGGUGUCUUGGCUAAUGUGUCUCAGCUAAGGUGUCUUGGCUAAGGUGUCUUGGCUAAGGUGUCUUGGCUAAAGUGUCUUGGCUAAGGUGUCUUGGCUAAUGUGUCUCGGCUAAAGUGUCUUGGCUAAGGUGUCUUGGCUAAGGUGUCUUGGCUAAGGUGUCUUGGCUAAUGUGUCUCGGCUAAGGUGUCUUGGCUAAGGUGUCUUGGCUAAGGUGUCUUGGCUAAGGUGUCUUGGCUAAGGUGUCUUGGCUAAUGUGUCUUGGCUAAGGUGUCUUGGCUAAUGUGUCUUGGCUCAGGUGUCUUGGCUAAUGUGUCUUGGCUAAAGUGUCUUGGCUAAGGUGUCUUGGCUAAGGUGUCUUGGCUAAGGUAUCUUGGCUAAUGUGUCUUGGCUAAAGUGUCUUGGCUAAGGUGUCUUGGCUAAGGUGUCUUGGCUAAGGUGUCUUGGCUAAUGUGUUUUGGCUAAGGUGUCUUGGCUAAUGUGUCUCGGCUUAUGUGUCUUGGCUAAUGUGUCUCGGCUAAAGUGUCUUGGCUAAGGUGUCUUGGCUAAUGUGUCUCGGCUAAAGUGUCUUGGCUAAGGUGUCUUGGCUAAGGUGUCUUGGCUAAAGUGUCUUGGCUAAGGUGUCUUGGCUAAGGUGUCUUGGCUAAUGUGUCUCGGCUUAAGUGUCUUGGCUAAGGUGUCUUAGCUAAGGUGUCUUGGCUAAUGUGUUUUGGCUAAGGUGUCUUGGCUAAUGUGUCUUGGCUAAGGUGUCUUGGCUAAUGUGUCUCGGCUAAGGUGUCUUGGCUAAGGUGUCUUGGCUAAGGUG